CAUGCAAGUCGAGCGGAAACGAUGGUAGCUUGCUACCAGGCGUCGAGCGGCGGACGGGUGAGUAAUACUUAGGAAUCUACCUAGUAGUGGGGGAUAGCUCGGGGAAACUCGAAUUAAUACCGCAUACGACCUACGGGAGAAAGGGGGCAGUUUACUGCUCUCGCUAUUAGAUGAGCCUAAGUCGGAUUAGCUAGAUGGUGGGGUAAAGGCCUACCAUGGCGACGAUCUGUAGCUGGUCUGAGAGGAUGAUCAGCCACACCGGGACUGAGACACGGCCCGGACUCCUACGGGAGGCAGCAGUGGGGAAUAUUGGACAAUGGGGGAAACCCUGAUCCAGCCAUGCCGCGUGUGUGAAGAAGGCCUUUUGGUUGUAAAGCACUUUAAGCAGUGAAGAAGACUCCGUGGUUAAUACCCACGGACGAUGACAUUAGCUGCAGAAUAAGCACCGGCUAACUCUGUGCCAGCAGCCGCGGUAAUACAGAGGGUGCAAGCGUUAAUCGGAAUUACUGGGCGUAAAGGGAGCGUAGGUGGCUCGAUAAGUCAGAUGUGAAAUCCCCGGGCUCAACCUGGGAACUGCAUCUGAUACUGUUGAGCUAGAGUAUGUGAGAGGAAGGUAGAAUUCCAGGUGUAGCGGUGAAAUGCGUAGAGAUCUGGAGGAAUACCGAUGGCGAAGGCAGCCUUCUGGCAUAAUACUGACACUGAGGCUC
rnacentral:rRNA from 1 species